UUUUUUUUUUUUUUUUUUUUUUUGACAGUCUCACUCUGUUGCCCAGGCUGGAGUGCAGUGGUGUAAUCUUGGUUUAUUGCAACCUCCGCCUCCCAGAUUCAAAUGAGUCUCCUGCCUCAGCCUCCCAAGUAGCUGGGAUUAUAGGCAUGUGCCAUCACACCUGGCUAAUUUUGUAUUUUUAGUAGAGACAGGGUUUCACUAUGUUGGCCAGGCUGGUCUUGAACUCCUGACCUCAGGUGAUCUGCCCACCUCAGCUUCUCAAAGUGCUGAGAUUAUAGGCUUGAGCCACUGCUCCCGGCCUGAAAAUGUUCCUUUACACAAAAUUUUUAGAGGCUACUAGUCAUUUUUUUUUUGUCAACAAUGUUUCAAAAACACCAAAUCUAUUUCACAUUUUAUCUGCCAUCGUUUAUUUUACUGCAUUCUGCUUUCAUUGCUAUUUUCUUUCUCUCCUCCCUUGACAUGGCCUGUGACAUACUGAUAAACACACACACAAGUGCAUACACAAACAUGCUAUGUUCCCUAUCUUAGCUGUUGUCAGCUUAGAAGUUGUUAUUGCUCUCCCAGGUCACUUAGCUCAACGCCCCCUUCCCUCAUCUUCUUGCACUUGUUUUAUUCCUAGAGAGGGUCCGCACACCCUCCCAGAGACUAUCUGCUCACACUUGGCCCAGAUAGUAGUUUCUGCGGCUUAGCCUGUAUGUGGUUCUGUCGUCCAUUUAUAUCUGCUUUGGAGCUCCACAAUCUUUGUGUGUGUGUGUGUGUGUGUGUGUGUGUGUGUGUGUGUGUGUGUAUUUCAUUUCAUUGCCCAGGCUGGAGUGCAGUGGUGCUAUCAUGGCUCACUGCCACCUUGACCUCCUGGGCUCAAGCAAUCCUCCCAGCUUUGGCCUCCCAAAAUGCUGGGAUUUCAAGCAUGAGCCACCAUGCCUGGCCUCAUUUAUGUUUUUGGAAACCACUCUAAUAAGCUUCUUCUACACUUUAAAAAUGCUGUAUUUAAGUUUUCUUCCAUUUAUAUAGGGACAAGGCCAGUUUUUCUUCUUAUAUGUACAUUGUUUUGGGGAAAGGGUAUAUGAUGGUAGUUUACAAACACUUAUUACGCACACAUACACACACACACACCACAGUUACCAUCUAUAUAUACAUAUCUAUUUAUAUGUUGUCUCACUUCGUUAGCUCCUAAUAACUCCUAUCAUUUGUGGUGAGUUGUAUUCAAAUUUUACUGUAAUUUAUGCUUCACAAACUUCUUAAGAGGUAGUACUGUUAUGUCCACCUAACGCAGGAGUCUCAGCCACUGGGCCAUGGACCAGUGCUGGUCCGUGGUCUGUUAGGAACCUGUCUGCAUAGCAGGAGGUGAGCAGUGGGGUGAGCAAGCAUUACCACCUGAGCUCUGCCUCCUGAGAGAUCAGUAGCAGCAUUAGAGUCACAGGAGCUCGAACCCUAUUGUACUGCACGUGCGAGGAAUCUAGGUUAUGUGCUCUUCAUGAGAAUCUAACUAAUGCCUGAUGAUCUGAGCUGGAACAGUUUCAUCCAUAAACCAUCAUUCCCUUGCCAUCCCAUCGGUGGAAAAA
ensembl:lncRNA